GAAAUGCGAUAAGUAAUGUGAAUUGCAGAAUUCAGUGAAUCAUCGAAUCUUUGAACGCACAUUGCGCCCCCUGACAUUCCGGGGGGCAUGCCUGUUCGAGCGUCAUUACACCACUCAAGCCUGGCUUGGUAUUGAGCGCCGCGGCCUGCCCGCGCGCUCCAAUGUCUCCGGCUGAGCCGUCCGUCUCUAAGCGUUGUGAAUAGCGAUCGCUUGCGAGGCCCGGGCGGUUCGACGCCGUUAAACCCCCCAUUUUCUAUGGUUGACCUCGGAUCAGGUAGGGAUACCCGCUGAACUUAAGC
rnacentral:misc_RNA from 1 species